rnacentral:lncRNA from 1 species
UGUACAACUGUUAGGUGUCUUCUAAGGUGGUUGGUGUGUGGAUGGUAGAGGAGCACUAAUGCCCAUGACCUGGGCUGUGAUGGUUCCUAACUAGUCUGCUUCCAUCUAUUUUCUCCCCACUACUGUUUACCCUACACAUAUACCAAAUUUAUAUUCCUAAAACAUGGCUCUGAUUAUGUCAUUGCUGUAUUUAAACUAUCUCAAAAACUCCCUGUACUCUCAACUUGUACUUGGAAUUCUUUAUUACAGUAUUUUAGAUUCGACCUUGAUUUUAUCUCCAAUUACAGCCUUUCAACACCAGUUCUUUAUAUACACUGAGAUGUGCUUUAAGUUAAAAUGCUUUAAAUGUAAUUGGUUUGGGAAAUAAUAAUUUAUGUUUUAGAUUAUUUCUUGCCACAUUCUUCUUUCGUAGGGAUUACCGAUCAUCUGGUUGUUGACCAGUAUGUGACAAACCUCCAGGUUUGUUUUUUUUUUUUUUUUUUUUUUAAUGUACUGUUCUUCUAGAAAAUUAGCACAAGAUACUAUGGAACAAACAUGUUUUGACCAAUGCUGAGCUAAGGGAGCUUCACAUGAAAGCCUACAAAUAUGAGGAGGAAAAACCUAGCCACGGCACAUUUCCAACAAUUUCUUAAUAAUUCCUCUUUUCUUAACCACAGAAAUAAAUCAGAGCCUUUAAAAGUUACCUUACAGAUACCAGCUUCUCAGAAAUUAUUUUGCAGUUACGUGAGAGUAUGUGCCUUCACAAUGUCAGCACCAACAUCUUUAGUAUUUUAAGAGGAAAAGUCAAGUCCACUGAAGGAAUUUAACAGAUUUUUCCAGAAACACUUAAGACAUCUAUAAUUAGGUUUUAAAAGGAGUGACAGAAUG